rnacentral:rRNA from 1 species
GACGAACGCUGGCGGCGUGCUUAACACAUGCAAGUCGAGCGGUAAGGCCCUUUCGGGGGUACACGAGCGGCGAACGGGUGAGUAACACGUGGGUGACCUGCCCUCCACUCUGGGAUAAGCCCGGGAAACUGGGUCUAAUACCGGAUAGGACCAUUGAUCGCAUGGUUGGUGGUGGAAAGUUUUUUUCGGUGGGGGAUGGGCCCGCGGCCUAUCAGGUUGUUGGUGGGGUGAUGGCCUACCAAGGCGGUGACGGGUAGCCGGCCUGAGAGGGCGACCGGCCACACUGGGACUGAGACACGGCCCAGACUCCUGCGGGAGGCAGCAGUGGGGAAUAUUGCGCAAUGGGCGGAAGCCUGACGCAGCGACGCCGCGUGGGGGAUGACGGCCUUCGGGUUGUAAACCUCUUUCGCCAAGGACGAAGAGCAAUUGACGGUACCUGGAGAAGAAGCACCGGCCAACUACGUGCCAGCAGCCGCCGCAG